rnacentral:rRNA from 1 species
GACUAUUCGAACGCACAUUGCGGUACYGGGCCAGCUCGGUACCACGCCUAUCUGAGGGUCGAAC